UUUUGAGAAGUUGAAAUUUGAGAAAAGGCCUGAAGGAGCUGAGGAGGUGGGUGAGUCAUGAAUGCAUCUCGGGAAGGAGUUCCCCAGGCUGAGGGAGCUGCACCUGAGGAAACCCAGGAGGCAAAGGUGGUCCUGGUCAGGAUGAUGAGGAGGUCCGUGUGGCUGGAGCAGGUGAGCUAGGUGGAGAGAGGCCGUAGAUGAGGGCAGAGCUGCUGCGGGAGCCAAACGUGUAAGGAUCUUUUCGGGCAGUGAGAGGACGUUGGUUUCUCACAGCAGAGAAGGGACAUCAUCUGACAUAUUUUAAAAGUAUCUCUCCGGCUCCCUUGUGGACUGUAAGGGACCAAGAGUUGAAACAGGCACCCAGGAGGAGUCCUUCCAGCAACUGAGAGGACUUGGUCCGAUUCUACCUCCGGAACAAUGCUCAGCCCACAGCCCUCAUUCCCUCCGUGAUGAACAGUAACUGUGGACUUUUGACCUUCCUCUUGAGCUUGGUCUGAGUCUUGGCAUUUACAACCACGGCUCUAGAUAAAAGAACAAUUGGACCAUGAGAGAACUUACUGGAAAGUAAUGCAGGAUCACCAGGAAGGAACAGGAAUUCACUCCUCGGUCACAGUCUUCAUAGUCUGAUUGGGAGUCAAUCAGGUCUAAAAAGGUCAGUGAGAAUGUAUGUCUGACUUUGGCAGGCUUCCAGCGCCUUACAGUCAUGGAAUAGUUUGUUGGGUUGUAGUUUUUUCCAGAGCCUAUUCAGAGCUUCCUUUGGCUGCUCUAUCCAUGUCGGCUUCCUCACACCGCCACCCCACCACUAUUUUCCCCUCACUUAUUGUCUGUCAAUGCAAAGCUAUUGUUCCCGUUAACUAAAAUCACCAAUAAACAAAUAUUUUUUUUCUCUCCAUUUCAUCUUCCAUAAAACUUGACUUUCAGGUCCUUUCCCCUGUACCCUCGUCUCUGGGAGCUGGUCCCAGGUCUCAGGCCCUAGAAAGCAAACAUCUUCCAUAAAAGGUCAGUGCAGAGAGUUUAGGUGAAACCUUAUGCUGAUGCAAAUGGGCUAGAUGAUUGCUCUGGUGAUUGUGUAGAUUAAUGUGUGUACAUGUGUGUGUGUACGUGUGUGUCUGUGUGUCUGAUUCUGACCUUUAAAUUAGGCUUCUUCCCUGGGCCCCUGCUGAAGGAAUUUCUUUCAGCAGCCUGGGUGCCAUUGGUUAGCCUCCAGGUAGACAUUAUCUCUUCAUUGUUGUCAAGUCUUCAUUCUGUCCCUCCCAUUUUUCACCAUGUGAAUCCACCUUAUGAUCUGUUUCAAAGUUGAACAAGAUGAGAACUUUCAAAGGCUGGAUGAAGAAUGGAAUUUUCAAUGAAUUUAAUGACCUAAUUCUCAAAAAGCACCUGCUAUGGUUCCUGCCGCUGUGAGAGGAAUAUCAAUGGCUUCAAUAUUCCAUUGUUUGUGACUGAGAAGCAUUUGCCUGCUGUACUGGGCUGCUUAGUUUUUUCAGACUGGCCACAAGGCAGAAAAUGUGGCAGAUAUAUAAAAGGAAAAUGUUGGCCAACAUGCCCUACAUCAGUGAACUGCAUCAAGCAUUCCUUCAGGAAGCCUAAGAAUGAGACAUCUCCCCAAUGGCCUGGUGGAUUGUUAAGAAGCUCUGGAGUAGGGAGUUGUUGAACACAUCGGCAUGCCAGUGUUCUAUUACAUGGCCUGGGAUAUUUUUGAGGAUAAUCUUCUUCCUCCUUCAUGGAUUUGGAUCAU
rnacentral:lncRNA from 10 species